CCAUGCCGCGUGCAGGAAGACUGCCCUAUGGGUUGUAAACUGCUUUUAUACAGGAAGAAACCCUCCCUCGUGUAGGGAGCUUGAGGGNACUGGAAGAAUAAGGAUCGGCUAACUCCGUGCCAGCAGCCGCGGUAAUACGGAGGAUCCAAGCGUUAUCCGGAAUCAUUGGGUUUAAAGGGUCCGUAGGUGGAUAAUUAAGUCAGAGGUGAAAUCCUGCAGCUCAACUGUAGAAUUGCCUUUGAAACUGGUUAUCUUGAGUCAUUAUGAAGUGGUUAGAAUGUGUAGUGUAGCGGUGAAAUGNNUAAANAUUACACAGAAUACCGAUUGNNAAGGCAGNNNACUAANNAUNUNCUGGCNCUNAUGGACGAAAGCNNGGGGAGCGAANAGGAUUAAAUACCCUGGUAGUCCACGCCGUAAACGAUGGAUACUCGCUGUUCGAACUUCGGUNGAGUGGCUAAGCGAAAGU
rnacentral:rRNA from 1 species